AUGGAUUUUUUGCGCAUGCGCACGAGUAACUUCCGUGAAAAUGGACAUCAACAGUAAAAAAAUGUGCUGGUUACCGGAAGUUCACAAGAACCAGUUAAGCGAAGGUAACACCCUACAACAUGAACAUGAACUGAUCACUGAGACUGCAUUGCGUAUGAAAGACAGUUUUACAUCCAAAUGGCUAGCUCAGAUGUGGAAGUGGAAUCGGACCCUUUUAGUUGGGAAUUCAAUGGAAAUUCAUUUGACAGUGAUGAUGAUGAUGAGAUUAAUUCAGCUUGUUGUGAUCCUCCUGGACAUCCAAGUGUUUUCGACAUUGAUGAAGAUUUUGUCAAUCUCUCUCUUGGACCAAACCAAGAAAUGAUGGUUUUAAGAAGAUUAUAGGAUAUGUCAUAGAAUACGAAGACCCCACCACUGGAGGCAGGCUAAUGACUACCCAGUAGAUGAGUGUGUUUAUGAGGUGAAGGGAUUAAAAAAGGACAAGGAAUACAACUUCCACAUACAGGCCAAGAAUCUUGAAGGUUUUUAAAUUAGUCUAGUGAUGUGAUUGGUCGAUCCCAUAACUCCCAAGCCCAAAUACACCAAGGUUUUGCCACCUGGUGUACCAGAGGCUGUCAACAAUUCUUUAACUUAUCUGAAAUGGGAACCACCUAAACAUAAUGGUGGCUGUAAAAUUACAGACUACCUUGUAGAAGAGAGGUUUAAGGGAACAGAGAAAUGAGUACCCCUGCACUGACCCCUCUUUACUGUCACCGAUCUUCCUCAGGACUCAGAGUGGGAGUUUAGAGUUACAGCUGAUAACUUUGCUGGAAACUGUGAGCCCAGUCUGUGCUCACCAGCAUACAAAAUCCAGGAGAAGAUUGAGUCUUUUGCAGUUGAGCAGGAUGAGGAAUCACACCAAUCAUUUGUAAAUGAAAGCAGCAGUCAUGAUGUUGUCAAUGAGAAUGAAUUUUAAAUAGGACAUGAUACAGGGCCACUUUCAAGUGAUGAAGCAGACGAGUAUGAUGAUGGUAAUGAUGAUGAAUCAUACCAUCCUUCAAGCGAUGAAAAAAGCUGUGAUGAAGAUACCAUUAAUGAUCUUGAUAUGCCCAGUAAGCCUCUCAAAUCUGAAAUGCAGCAGAAACAAGCUGCACUUGCAAGUGACAGCGAAAAGGAGAGUGAAUGUGAAGAUGAUCAUGAUGAUGUCAGCAAAGUUUUACCACAGUCAGAGAAGCGAAAGACCAGGUUUUUAGAGGCCAAAAACAUCGUCUGGGAACUAUGAUAAUAAAAAACAUUCAUGUCUCUUUUGUGAGAAAUUUUGCCAGCAGGCAGUUGAUGGUAUGCAUAUCAUAUAAGCCCAUAGCUCUUUAAGUACAAAAAAUUGUGAGAUUCAUUUUUGCAUAUAGGUUCAGGAUGGAGCUGAAUAUUGAAAAAAUAUAUCCUAUAAAUUUUUUUUCAUGGACAUGUAGCAGACAGCUGUUUGCAUAAUUUAAGCAAGUAAUUAUUUUUUAACCAAAAUUUGUGAAAUUUAUUGCUCAUGACCCAUUGUUCAUGCAAGGUUUACCUAUUUAUAUUGACACUGCAACAGGCCCAUAGACCCCCCCCCCACUUUUUCUGAGUAUAGUAUUUUGCUAUAGUAAAGUAUCCUUUAUAUCCUGGUUGCCCCUCCCCCCCCCCCCCCCUCUUUUUGUUGCAAUAAGGUCGGUUCAGUAAAUAAUGUUUUUUUUUGCUUGUCAGAUAUUUUUUAAAGUCCCCCCUACUUUUGAAACCAUUUCUAUGGGCUGUAAAUUGAAGUUUUAAAAAAUCCUUUACUGGUGAACAUCUAGCAGGCAAACUAGCAGGCAUAAAAUUAAAUAUGAAGAUUAUGAAUAGUAAUCAAACUCAAAAGUCCAUUAGAAUAAUCCAUAUUCGUAGCAGAGCAAACAUGGACCUCUAAAAUUAAUCUUAAUUAAUGCUUAG